rnacentral:lncRNA from 1 species
UGACAUUUUAGAAAAUGAUUAGGAAAUUUAGCCAUUUUAUAUAACACCUUGCCGGAAAAUUCAGUUAUUUUUUCAAAAUGUUCCGAUCAAGACAAUGUCUAUAGCAUUAAGUCUUUACCAAUUGCAAGUGAACGGUAAGAAUAUAAGGUGGUAAUGUUUUUUUGCAAUUGAUAAUUUAACUGUCUCGAUGCAGUGUUAGAAUGUGUGUAUAUAUAUAUAAAUUUAUACAAAAACAUAUGUGACAUGAUUGUCAAUGAGUCAACUAGAGACCAAAGGACAUGCAUAUAUUUAUUGUAAACAAUACCGCAGGAACUUGAUAGAAAAGAUAUAAUGAGACAUCAGUUUUCACAUCAGUAGUUACGACUUACCUCGACCACAUAUCAUAUCCGUGACAAACGCCUUGAGAUUCUAUAUUGUUAGAUAGGAAAACAUGAUUUAUAGUAAUCUUUACUUAUCAUAUAUAUAUAUAUAUAUAUAUAUAUAUAUAUAUAUAUAUAUAUAUUUGUUUUACAUGCACACGUAUAAAAAUUGCGGUUUUUAUCCAACACAUUCAUAGGUUUGAACGUAGUUUUCAAUUUAGACUCGUUUAUAUUUUUUCGUUUGGGCUUGUAUCAUAUUUUCCCUCCGGUUUAUAUGAUCCGUUCAUCUUUAUUGACUCUUAAAAUUCAAGAGUAUCUGAAAUUGAGGGUAAAUUAUAUGGCCUUCCAAAUACCGUUUCGAUCCCUAACAUCACUGAAGAGACAUUUAUUGUCGAAAUCCGGAUCUGGUGUACAAAAAAAAUAUUAACACCUUGUGUUUGUGGCAUAACAUCGUGGCCACAAGUUAAUUGUUUUCUGUUUAGUAUUAAAUUUAUAUUAAGAUCCAUUUUGUUACAUCUUGUGAUCAAUUUUAUUUGGCAAUCGCCAAUGGCAGUCAGCAGGGUUAAAGAACAUCAGUUGUUCGACCUGUUAGUCAAAUGCGUUUUGUUUAAAUAUACUUCUUCACUUUUUUGGUCUUUUGGAAAAUGUUGUUUGUGCUGUAUUUAGACCCUUCUACAACGAAAUUGUUUUACAUGCACACGUAUAAAAAUUGCGGUUUUUAUCCAACGCAAUUAUAGGUUUGAACGUAGUUUUCAACUUAUAAUUCGUAUUAUAUAUGUAUACUCGUCUAAACAUCAACAAAACAAUGUUAGAUCUGUAAAUUUGCUUUCGCAAAUUGUUUGUUCUUCCCUCGCCGGGAUUCGAAACCAUGCUACUGAGAUAUCGUGACACCAAAUCGCCUGCACUGUAGCCGUUCCGCUAGACCACACGACCACCUGGGCUUUCAUAAAAAUGAAGCUUUCGGUGGCCGUGUGUUACCUUUCCACGUCAGUUUUAAUCUAACGUCUUACUACAGUACAUGCUAUAUAAUGCAUGGAGAUGUUAUUUUUACAGAUCAGCUAAAUUAUCUAUAGUAAAGGAUCCUACAAAUUAAUGUAAGAUACAGUCACAGAAAAUAAUUAUAUUUAUAAGUACGUCUGAGCCAGUGACAACUCUACAACAGAUUUAUCCAUCGGAUCACCAGCAGUGAUGAUGAUACAUGGCUGUGUACAUUAUGUAUAUACAACUCGUCUAAACAUCAACCCAACAAUGUUAGAUCUGUAAAUUUGCUUUUGCAUAUUGUUUGUUCUUCCUUCGUCGGGAUUCGAACCCAUGCUACUGAGAUAUAUAUAUAUAUAACUCGUCUAAACAUCAACCCAACAAUGUUAGAUCUGUAAAUUUGCUUUUGCAAAUUUUUUGUUCUUCCCUCGCCGGGAUUCGAACCCAUGCUACUGAGAUAUCGUGACACCAAAUCGCCUGCACUAAAGCCGUCCCGCUAGACCACACGACCACCUGGGCUUCAUAAAAAUGAAGCUUUCGGUGGCCGGGUGUUACCUUUCUACGUCAGUUUUAAUCUAGCGUCGUACUACAUUACAUGAUAUAUAAGGCAUGGAGAUGUUAUUGUUACAGAUCAGCUCAAUUAUCUAUAGUUAAGAAUCCUACAAAUUAAUGCAAGAUACAUAUUUUAAGAAGAAAUAUCAAUAGUUUCAAUUAUAUUUUUAAUAUACAAAAAUUAAAGCUGUAUAACCUCACUUACAUUGUUACAUGAAUAAGUUUGUAAGAUUUGCACAUCUUAGUUCAUAUGUAUAAGACAGAUAAUCAAAAGCCUAGCAAUAAACAUAUCUGAUCGAUUUAAUUGGAUAAAAUACUUUGUCAGUGUAUAUAAGUGAUGCUGCCGUGUAAUUCCGGAAACCUGUGUUUUAUUUGUCGUUAAGAAAGCAAUAAAUCAAGUUCAAGAUUAACACAUUUAUAUACAUCAUUAAAUUAUGAUUGUCAUGCAUCGCCAUAAAUAUCCUAAAAUGAUUUUUGUUAUUAGGUCACUAUGUCAUUGUAUAAAUUCCAUCAGUUAUAUGCUAUGAGCUGUAUUGAAAAAGAAAUUUGUUAUAAUCCUUAACACGCAUGAAAUAUUUGCCGUUAAGCAAUUAACACCUAAUCAAUUGAAAGUAUAUGUAUUUAUUAAUAUCAUUCUUAAAUAUCCAUAGACGUUACACAUCUGUUCAUUUAAACAAAGGAACAGGAUUUCAAUUCCAAUAUAAAAUAAGGAGAUGUGUAAUGAUUGCUAUGAUUGCUAAUGAGACAACUAUCCAACAGACGCAACAUGACGUAGAUAUUAAUAACGAUAAUCACUAUACGGCCUUCAACAAUGAAGACAACAAUACAGCAUACAAAAGCUAUAAAAUGCCCUGAUAAAAUUUAAAAAAAAAAAAAAAAGAAAAGAAAGCAUUGUUUUUUCCAAAUAUAGUUAAAUGCACUAUGUGAGCCUUUCGAAAUCUUGUUUCUGUUUAGUUGGGUUAAAAAUAUAUAUAUAUAGAAACAUUUGUUUAUGAUAAUCCGGAUCGCAAGUAAUUUUCAUAGAAUUAUCUUGGAUGCAGAAAAUGCAAUACAAUCAUCUUGAAUGCGGAAAAUGCAAUCUCUACAUCAUUCAUUUUAACUACUGUAUUUAAUUAUUCAUUAAACCAAAAAAUGUUUUAGACAUAUACACAUUACGUUAACAGAAUUUCAACAUUUUUCUUGCAGAUACGUGAACUUUUGACUGUGGACUCGACUAACAUGUCAUCACUUUCAUUUAAUAGUUCCAAGGAGUGUAUGCCUUUAUAUAUGUCAUG